GACCAGAAGAUGAGAGCAUUCUAAAAUGGAUGUGACCAAGCUGAGGGACCUCCUUCUACUGGGAGGUGAAUUCCGUCUGGAUGGUUCCCCAGUUACGUUAGCGUGCAUUGAUUGAUAGCCAUCCUGCUUGAUAAGGAGGCCGAGGCCGGAGGGACUCAAGUUCAAGGCCUGCUUGGACUCCAUCGAAUCGUGCCAACCCAGACAAGUUUGUAGGCUCCUGUCUCAAAAAUCAGAAAGUCAGUAAGAAAUCUGGAGAUGCAACUCAGCGGGAAGAUGCUGGCCUUGCACGGAUGAAACCCUAAAUGCACUCCCCAGUACAACGCAUGAACAAACAAACAUCAAAAGCCUUUGACCACACACAGUACCAAUAAAGAGAAGAGAA
rnacentral:lncRNA from 1 species